CGGCGUGCUAACACAUGCAAGUCGAACGAUGAUAGAGAGCUUGCUUUUCUUGAUUAGUGGCGCACGGGUGAGUAAUGCAUAGAUAAUGUGCCCCUUAGUUCGGGAUAGCCACUGGAAACGGUGAUUAAUACCGGAUACUCCUUCUUGUUAUAAGACAAGUCGGGAAAGUUUUUCGCUAAGGGAUCAGUCUAUGUUCCAUCAGCUUGUUGGUGGGGUAAUGGCUCACCAAGGCUAUGACGGAUAUCUGGUUUGAGAGGAUGAUCAGACACACUGGAACUGAGACACGGUCCAGACUCCUACGGGAGGCAGCAGUGAGGAAUAUUGCACAAUGGAGGAAACUCUGAUGCAGCAACGCCGCGUGGAGGAUGACGCAUUUCGGUGUGUAAACUCCUUUUAUUAGGGAAGAUAAUGACGGUACCUAAUGAAUAAGCACCGGCUAACUCCGUGCCAGCAGCCGCGGUAAUACGGAGGGUGCAAGCGUUACUCGGAAUCACUGGGCGUAAAGGGUGCGUAGGCUGGCUUUUAAGUCAGAUGUGAAAUCCAAUGGCUCAACCAUUGAACUGCAUUUGAAACUGAAAGCCUAGAGUUCAGAAGGGGCAGAUGGAAUUAGUGGUGUAGGGGUAAAAUCCGUAGAUAUCACUAGGAAUACCGAUUGCGAAGGCGAUCUACUGGAACAUUA
rnacentral:rRNA from 1 species